UUCCAGACUCCUACGGGAGGCAGCAGUGGGGAAUAUUGCACAAUGGGGGAAACCCUGAUGCAGCGACGCCGCGUGAAGGAAGAAGUAUCUCGGUAUGUAAACUUCUAUCAGCAGGGAAGAAAACAGACGGUACCUGACUAAGAAGCCCCGGCUAACUACGUGCCAGCAGCCGCGGUAAUACGUAUGGUGCAAGCGUUAUCCGGAUUUACUGGGUGUAAAGGGAGCGUAGACGGUUCUGCAAGCCAGAUGUGAAAGCCCGGGGCUCAACCCCGGGACUGCAUUUGGAACUGUAAGGCUAGAGUGUCGGAGAGGCAGGCGGAAUUCCUAGUGUAGCGGUGAAAUGCGUAGAUAUUAGGAGGAACACCAGUGGCGAAGGCGGCCUGCUGGACGAUGACUGACGUUGAGGCUCGAAAGCGUGGGGAGCAAACAGGAUUAGAUACCCCCGUA
rnacentral:rRNA from 1 species